rnacentral:rRNA from 1 species
AGAGUUUGAUCAUGGCUCAGAUUGAACGCUGGCGGCAGGCCUAACACAUGCAAGUCGAGCGGUAGCACAAGAGAGCUUGCUCUCUGGGUGACGAGCGGCGGACGGGUGAGUAAUGUCUGGGAAACUGCCUGAUGGAGGGNGAUAACUACUGGAAACGGUAGCUAAUACCGCAUAACGUCUUCGGACCAAAGUGGGGGACCUUCGGGCCUCACGCCAUCAGAUGUGCCCAGAUGGGAUUAGCUAGUAGGUGGGGUAAUGGCUCACCUAGGCGACGAUCCCUAGCUGGUCUGAGAGGAUGACCAGCCACACUGGAACUGAGACACGGUCCAGACUCCUACGGGAGGCAGCAGUGGGGAAUAUUGCACAAUGGGCGCAAGCCUGAUGCAGCCAUGCCGCGUGUGUGAAGAAGGCCUUCGGGUUGUAAAGCACUUUCAGCGAGGAGGAAGGGUAGUGUGUUAAUAGCACAUUGCAUUGACGUUACUCGCAGAAGAAGCACCGGCUAACUCCGUGCCAGCAGCCGCGGUAAUACGGAGGGUGCAAGCGUUAAUCGGAAUUACUGGGCGUAAAGCGCACGCAGGCGGUUUGUUAAGUCAGAUGUGAAAUCCCCGCGCUUAACGUGGGAACUGCAUUUGAAACUGGCAAGCUAGAGUCUUGUAGAGGGGGGUAGAAUUCCAGGUGUAGCGGUGAAAUGCGUAGAGAUCUGGAGGAAUACCGGUGGCGAAGGCGGCCCCCUGGACAAAGACUGACGCUCAGGUGCGAAAGCGUGGGGAGCAAACAGGAUUAGAUACCCCGGUAGU